GAGCUCAGUGAGCUGAUCAGAGAGAAAGCAUUCUGCUAGCCCAGCUCCUACAAUUCGCAAUCACUUCCUAACCUCACCCUUUUUAACAUAUUUGAUCACUUUGAUUCUCUGCUCUUUUUCAAAUUAUUUUUCCUGCAUGAAGGAGGUUCUAUAAGUUGUGAUCUUUUUGUUUUAUUUUCACUUGCUUGUCGGAGAGUUGACUUCAUAGCAUUGGCUUCAGCUGCGCGCUGCUGCUCGAACCACCUCACAAGAAAAGGGAGAAGCAGCAAUAUUUUUUUUACCAGUUGAUGAUUUUCUUCAUGACUUGAGCUGGAACUUGAUAGCGCUCUGCUGCUAGUGUGUAGCCUAAAUCAAUUGUGUGGUUUAUGCUGCUGUCACGUCGCCUAUACGUUCAACUUACUGCUUCGUUUCUUGAAUAGGCUACCUCAUUUCAUUAUUGCAAUCAUUUGCUCUUUUUUUUUAUCCAUUUCGAGUCUCCUGAAUGGCUGACUGCAAGCGCCCCUGGACUUGGCCUCUAAGCGCAAUGCUGCGAAUCAGCUCGCCAUCACAUCAGUUUUAAAACGUGUGCUUCGCGUCGUCUAUAACAGCAAUACAAUUUGACAUUUUCGCCAGAUUCAACGGACAAUCGACAUCAGUAGGCUUUUGUCAUUUAUUUAUUUGACUAUUCAUUUUGAUUACAGCGUGCUGCAUUCUUUUGAGAGAACAAGCACGGCGAAACCAAAAACGGCAGACAAAAAGUUUCCUUACGUUGACUGAUAGAUAUGGCAAUGGUAGUGUGGAGAGGCUCCCAGGACGAUGUGGCUGAGACCCAAGGUACCCUUUCUUCGCAAUCUCAAGGAGGACUAUCCCUUCCGACCCCUCAGUUGAAUCUGUCAGGCUCUCAGGUCGCCCCUCCGACCCCUCAGACAACCGUCCAAGGACCCCCGAACAACACUGUACAGUCUACGCCGACAAACCAGACGACGCAGUCGGAGAAACAGCAGCCACAGCACAUAGAAUGCGUGGUUUGCGGGGAUAAAUCUAGUGGUAAACACUAUGGCCAGUUUACUUGCGAGGGGUGCAAAAGCUUCUUCAAACGGAGCGUACGAAGGAACCUCAGUUACACAUGUCGUGCCAACAGGAAUUGUCCCAUUGACCAGCACCAUCGCAAUCAGUGUCAGUACUGCCGCCUCAAAAAAUGCCUGAAAGUUGGCAUGAGACGGGAAGCGGUGCAACGGGGACGGAUGCCACCCACACAGCCACACCAUGGCCAGUUCGCCUUGACAAAUGGGGACCCACUCCACUGCCAUUCCUACUUAUCCGGAUAUAUCUCUCUACUGCUGAGAGCGGAGCCCUACCCAACGUCCCGGUAUGGCAGUCAAUGCAUGCAACCCAACAACAUCAUGGGCAUCGAGAACAUAUGUGAACUGGCGGCCAGGAUGCUGUUCAGCGCCGUGGAGUGGGCCAGGAAUAUCCCUUCUUUCCAGACCUUCAGAUUACUGACCAGGUGGCUCUUCUGCGGUUGACCUGGAGUGAGUUAUUUGUGCUCAACGCCGCACAGUGCUCCAUGCCUCUCCAUGUGGCUCCACUUCUGGCCGCGGCUGGCCUACAUGCCUCCCCCAUGUCUGCGGACAGAGUGGUCGCAUUUAUGGACCACAUUAGGAUCUUCCAAGAACAAGUGGAAAAGCUGAAAGCUUUGCACGUUGACUCUGCUGAAUACAGCUGUUUAAAGGCAAUUGUGCUCUUCACAUCAGAUGCUUGUGGCCUCUCAGAUGUGGCCCAUGUGGAAAGUUUGCAAGAGAAGUCACAGUGCGCCCUGGAGGAAUAUGUUCGGAGCCAGUAUCCCAACCAGCCUACACGAUUUGGGAAAUUGUUACUUCGCUUGCCUUCGCUGCGCACAGUCUCUUCAUCGGUCAUAGAGCAAUUGUUUUUCGUCCGAUUGGUAGGUAAAACCCCAAUUGAAACCCUCAUCAGGGAUAUGUUGCUUUCGGGGAGCAGUUUUAACUGGCCCUACAUGUCAAUUCAGUAAGCAGAAGGAAUGAACAAAGGGGGUAAGACUACAAUGGUUAGCGCUUCUUUUGUUGAAGGAAAACGGCUGUUACAAGAGCUUGCUUUCACAAAGAAAGACAUUGUUGUAAAUGACUGUGAAUUUUAAAAUUGAGACAUUCAGCGAACUUUCAAAAUGCAGAUAAAAGCUCCCAGUGUCAUUCGGAACAACUUGCUUCUUAUCCAUUUUUAAGAAAAAAGAAAACGAAAAAAAAAUAAGGAAAAGGAUUUUGGUAAUCCUCAAAAGGAAAAUGGAAACUAUAAAGUGCAUUUAAAAUGAACAUUUGGAAAAACUUAGGAGAAAAUAAAAAAGUACGUUUUCUUUUUCCAAA